rnacentral:rRNA from 1 species
UACUUAGUGGCAGACGGGUGAGUAACAUGUAGGUAUCUGCCCUUUGGCCUGGAAUAACACGAGGAAACUUGUGCUAAUACCGGAUAAGUCUUUACGGAGAAAGCUUUAUGCACCAUUGGAUGAGCCUGCACUUGAUUAGUUUGUUGGUGGGGUAAUGGCCUACCAAGACUGUGAUCAAUAGCUGAUUUGAGAGGAUGAUCAGCCACAUUGGGACUGAGACACGGCCCAAACUCCUACGGGAGGCAGCAGUGGGGAAUCUUGCACAAUGGAGGAAACUCUGAUGCAGCGAUGCCGCGUGAGUGAAGAAGGCCCUUGGGUUGUAAAGCUCUUUCGUCGGGGAAGAAAAUGACUGUACCCGAAUAAGAAGGUCCGGCUAACUUCUUUCCAGCAGCCGCGGUAAUACGAAGGGACCUAGCGUAGUUCGGAAUUACUGGGCUUAAAGAGUUCGUAGGUGGUUGAAAAAGUUAGUGGUGAAAUCCCAGAGCUUAACUCUGGAACUGCCAUUAAAACUUUUCAGCUAGAGUAUGAUAGAGGAAAGCAGAAUUUCUAGUGUAGAGGUGAAAUUCGUAGAUAUUAGAAAGAAUACCAAUUGCGAAGGCAGCUUUCUGGAUCAUUACUGACACUGAGGAACGAAAGCAUGGGUAGCGAAGAGGAUUAGAUACCCUCGUAGUCCAUGCCGUAAACGAUGUGUGUUAGACGUUGGAAAUUUAUUUUCAGUGUCGCA